rnacentral:rRNA from 1 species
GAUCCAGCAAUGCCGCGUGAGUGAAGAAGGCCUUCGGGUUGUAAAGCUCUUUUGUCAGGGAAGAAACGGUGGAGGCUAAUAUCCUUUGCUAAUGACGGUACCUGAAGAAUAAGCACCGGCUAACUACGUGCCAGCAGCCGCGGUAAUACGUAGGGUGCAAGCGUUAAUCGGAAUUACUGGGCGUAAAGCGUGCGCAGGCGGUUUUGUAAGUCUGUCGUGAAAUCCCCGGGCUCAACCUGGGAAUUGCGAUGGAGACUGCAAGGCUAGAAUCUGGCAGAGGGGGGUAGAAUUCCACGUGUAGCAGUGAAAUGCGUAGAUAUGUGGAGGAACACCGAUGGCGAAGGCAGCCCCCUGGGUCAAGAUUGACGCUCAUGCACGAAAGCGUGGGGAGCAAACAGGAUUAGAUACCCUGGUAGUCCACGCCCUAAACGAUGUCUACUAGUUGUCGGGUCUUAAUUGACUUGGUAACGCAGCUAACGCGUGAAGUAGACCGCCUGGGGAGUACGGUCGCAAGAUUA